ensembl:lncRNA
AUCCUGGCCAUCGAUUUCACCAUCCUGGAGCCUUCUAAGAGUGGGGCAGAGAACAUCCUGGUCAUGACCGAUGUCUUUUCGAAGUAUACACAAGCCAUCCCAACCCAUGACCAGCGGGCAGGUUCGCUGGUCAUGGGUUGGUUCUGCAGGUUCGGUGUGCCUGGUCGCCUCCACUCUGACCAGGGCAGGAACUUUGAAAGCAACCUCAUCCAGCAGCUCUGCCAGAUGCACGGCAUUGAGAAGAGCUGCACCACACCCUGGAAAUGUACCAUCCAGGUGGAAAUGGCCAAUGUGAGAGGUUCAACCGCACCUUACAAAACCUUCUCUGCACUCUGCCCAUCACCAAAAAGAGAGACUGGUCCAGCUACCUGCCCCAAGUGUCCUUUGCAUACAAUACAACAGCACAGCCGACUGGUGAGUCUCCGUUUUUCCUGAUGUUUGGCCAAGACCCACAAUUACCUGUUGAUUUUCUGUUGGGCAGAGUACAGGAACCUGUGCCUGGCCACCCCCAUGAUUGGAUCGUGGAACACCAGACACGGCUACGUCAUGCUUUUGAGAGUACAACCAGGCAUCUGGAAGCUGCAGCUGCCCGGCGGAAGGAACACUAUGACAGGCAUGUUCGUGAUGUCCCACUGCAAGAAGGUCAGCUGGUCUUCCUCAAAGACACCAGUGCAAAGUGGAUUGUGCUGCUAAUUGUCCCCCCCAGUGAAUCCCCUGAACAGAUGGGAUCCAUCUCAGCAGAUGAGUCAUCGUUUGAUAGCGACUGGGCUGUAGUGACCUCUGAACCCAUGGCUGUCCCAAGAAACCACCUACCAGCGCGGCCUGUCAUCAGCAC